CCACUUUCUUAUGGAUCAAGAUGAUGUUGGCAUUCUUCCAAGAUUCUGGUAUCCUCCCCGUCGAAAGACACUUUUUAUACAGGGUGGCCAGCUUUUCUAACAUAAUCUCUCCACCGCCUUUCAAUAGGUCUGAGUUUACCUGAUCCUCACCAGCGGCUUUGCCUCUUUGCAUU
rnacentral:lncRNA from 1 species